CAUUGAACCUCUGUGUGCAGAGGUUGGUGAGAGAGAACUCUCAGGAAUAACUCCUGCAGUGAGGGAAGGAAACAGGACUGAGCAGAUAGACUUGGAAUGAGGUACUGUUAUAUAUUGUAUAUUGGUCCUCAGGCUGGAACUAGAGUACCCUUCACUGGAAUCCAUCCUUGAAUCCCCAGGUCAAGGUCCUUGUACCUCUACACUAUUCAGGCUUCAGGAGCAGGCUGCCAUCAAGAAGAGGCUGAAACCUAGGGAAAGAUGCCUCUCUAUCCAUGGGCAUAUGAUGUGUUGGACCUCAGCUCUGAGUAGUCAGUAGCCAACAUCCUGGUCAGCGAGGAAAGCCUAGCCCUGUCUCUAGGAAGAAUGCGAAUCACAUCACCCUAGCCUUCAUUCAAGGUCUCCUCACUGAAGCUGGAUCAAGGUUUGGAGGCAACUGGGCCCACAUUCUCCUUUCUCUGCAACUGCCUAUGCUGGAGUAUGGAUGCACAUGGCAACUCCUGGUAUUUUGAAGUGCCUAGGAUUCCAAAACAAAUCACUAAUGUGUGUACAGCAAGUGUUUCCACAUGCUGAGCCUCUGUGCACCUUGUAGCUUACUUUACACAACCAUUUCAGGUGAACAUUCAUGUUCCUCUAGAUUAUUGCUUAAAGUUAGAGCAUGACACGUUUCAUAACUGUGAAUAAAAAG
rnacentral:lncRNA from 1 species